rnacentral:tRNA from 1 species
GCUCUCUUGGCGCAAUUGGAUAGCGCAUCGGUCUUCUAAACCGAAGGUUGUGGGUUCGACCCCCACAGGGAGCU